GACGAACGCUGGCGGCGUGCUUAACACAUGCAAGUCGAACGGAAAGGCCCCUUUUGGGGUACUCGAGUGGCGAACGGGUGAGUAACACGUGAGUAACCUGCCCUUGACUUCGGGAUAACUUCAGGAAACUGGGGCUAAUACCGGAUAGGAAUCCUUGCUGCAUGGUGGGGGUUGGAAAGCUUCGGCGGUUUUGGAUGGACUCGCGGCGUAUCAGCUUGUUGGUGGGGUAGUGGCUUACUAAGGCUUUGACGGGUAGCCGGCCUGAGAGGGCGACCGGCCACAUUGGGACUGGAAUAAGGCCCAGACUCCUACGGGAGGCAGCAGUGGGGAAUAUUGGACAAUGGGCGGAAGCCUGAUGCAGCAACGCCGCGUGCGGGAUGACGGCCUUCGGGUUGGAAACCGCUUUCAGCAGGGGCGAAGCUUGUGGUGACGGUACCUGCAGAAGAAGCACCGGCUAACUACGUG
rnacentral:rRNA from 1 species